AAAAAUAAGAUGAAUUAUAACAAUAUAAGAUGGACUAAGAUGUAGUAAGAUGUACUAUUAGAACUUGUACCACUAUUUUUAAAUCGAUACGAAAUAACUUAGAGCAAUAUACAAAAUUCACUGCUGAUUUUGUUUUUCCUAAAAUUUAGCUAGUGACUUGGCGUUUUAUGAAAUAUUCGAAUUCAAUGCAUAUGCUAAAUUAAUUGUAUCAAACAUAAUUACACAACUUGCGUAUGAACAUGAUUAAGUAUAUACAUAUACAAUAAUAAUUACUCAUUUUAACGGCAGAUUAAAUGAACAGUCUAAACUACGUAAUCGCUUUUCUCCUUCCCUCCCUCCCAAUCAGUUAAGCAUUCACAUAAUAUACAUUUACAACUGUACCAUGUUGGUAACUUUUACUGAAAUAAAU